GUCCUUGCCGUAAACGAUGUAUACUUGAUGUAGUUGGACUCAACCCCGACUGUGUCGUAGCUAACGCGAUAAGUAUACCGCCUGAGGAGUACGCUCGCAAGGGUGAAACUCAAAAGAAUUGACGGGGGCUCGCACAAGCAGUGGAGCAUGUGGUUUAAUUCGAUGCAACGCGAAGAACCUUACCCAGGCUCGAAAUAUAGGGGACAGCUCCUGAAAGGGAGUCUCUCGUAAGAGUCGCUAUAUAGGUGCUGCAUGGCUGUCGU
rnacentral:rRNA from 1 species